GCCUACGGCCAUACCACGUUGAACACACCGGUUCUCGUCCGAUCACCGAAGUUAAGCAACGUCGGGCCCGGUUAGUACUUGGAUGGGUGACCGCCUGGGAACACCGGGUGCUGUAGGCA
rnacentral:rRNA from 1 species